rnacentral:lncRNA from 10 species
AAACUGCUGCCCUUCUAGUGCUGAUGCUGGACUGAAGCUUCCUGCAGGCUGGGAUCCUGUCUGCAUAUCUCGCAAUGUGUUCCCAGGACCAGGCGUAGUUUCUGAACUGUGAAGCCAACUAUGCAGCGAUGACUGUACCCACAGAUGUUAAUGAUUAAGAACAAGUGCGACAGAGAUCAACAGCUCUGCGUUCAAGUCCAAACUCUUCCCCUCGGCAAGGCACGUGACCUCCCUGUGCCUCAGGUUCUUGCAGAGUGGAAAUGCCCACUUCACAGAAUGGCUGAGGGUGUGGAUGAACGGUGGACGCUCCUGCCCGGCACCCAUGGGUGCUCACGACGAUUGUGUUUUACUGUUGGCUGCAAUAUGUCAUGACUUAUCAUGUGUGAUCCUUGAGUGAAUAGGCAGCUGCGAGCCUGAGCGGACUCCUAUGAACCAGUCUUCUCCAGCAAUAGACCCUCCUUCAACUCGUGGUAGCCUGUACGCCAAGGGUGACAGACUGGAAAGCAGGAUCCACCGGUUCAUCUAUGGGAAAAGGAGGGGGAAUGAGAUCAAGGAUUGAGGACGCUAAUGGAGAUGGGGUUUCACCAUGUUGCCCAGGCUGGUCUUGAACUCCUAGACUCAAGUGAUCCACUCGCCUUGGCCUCCCAAAAUGCUGGAAUUACAGGAGAAAAGCAGUCCUUCUGGUACUGGCUGGGUGUGGUGGCUCACACCUGUAAUCUCAGCACUUUGGGAGGCCAAGACAGGAGAAUUGCUUGAGUCCAGGAGAUUGAGACCAGCCUGAGCAACCUACGGAGACCCCCCUCUCUACCAA